UGGCUGUCGUCAGCUCGUGUUGUGAAAUGUUGGGUUAAGUCCCGCAACGAGCGCAACCCUUAUCCUUUGUUGCCAGCGGUCCGGCCGGGAACUCAAAGGAGACUGCCAGUGAUAAACUGGAGGAAGGUGGGGAUGACGUCAAGUCAUCAUGGCCCUUACGACCAGGGCUACACACGUGCUACAAUGGCGCAUACAAAGAGAAGCGACCUCGCGAGAGCAAGCGGACCUCAUAAAGUGCGUCGUAGUCCGGAUUGGAGUCUGCAACUCGACUCCAUGAAGUCGGAAUCGCUAGUAAUCGUGGAUCAGAAUGCCACGGUGAAUACGUUCCCGGGCCUUGUACACACCGCCCGUCACACCAUGGGAGUGGGUUGCAAAAGAAGUAGGUAGCUUAACCUUCGGGAGGGCGCUUACCACUUUGUGAUUCAUGACUGGGGUGAAGUCGUAACAAGGUAACCGUAGGGGAACCUGCGGUUGGAUCACCUCCUUACCUUAAAGAA
rnacentral:rRNA from 1 species